CAGCCAUGGCUUCCCCUCUCGCUGCUGCGUCUUCUUCAUCAUACGUGUUGCUGCUGCGUCGCGCCACUGCUGCCAUGGCUGUGUCCACCUACUGCUGCCCGCUGCUUCUUCUCCUCAAGAUGUUGCCAUAUCCAAUGUUGCUGCCCGUCGUGCUGCUCCGCCACCAUUGUUGCCCUCGAUGUUGUUUCACCAUCCAAACACGUUGUCUGCUUCGUCUUCUUCAAUCGAGUUUCUACUUCAGUCAAGCUCCAUAUUCAGCAGUAGCAGCUGCUACUGCUUCACUUCUGCCAUGGUUGCGUCUUCUGCUUCACAUCUAGCUGACCUUCAGUUGCUUCUUAUUCGGAUCGUCUUCGUCGUCGAAUUGUUUUGGUGCGAUAAUCGCUUCCGGACAGAUUUGUUUUAAUUCAAAGUUCUUCGUCGUUCCGAUCCGGUACACAAACUGAUACACUGGUUCAUCUUGUAAGCCACUCGAAGCAUGAAUGCAAAAAUGAGAAAGAUUUGAAGUUGUAAUUUAAUGUAGUCUUUUCUUUCUUUUACUGUCUGUAUAUAGAAUAUUAUAUCCGCUGUCCAUGUAAACUUUUUAAACGACUCACUUUCGAAACUUGA